rnacentral:lncRNA from 1 species
GGCCUAUAAGGGCGUCUGGGAGCGAUUAAGGACUGUGGGAGACCCAGGACCAGCGCACAGUGGGUGCUGCAUGAUAGGGGUACACUGGAGUGGCCCCCCUGCAUCUUGAAUAAGUCCCUUGGGUGUGCAGAACCCCUAUCUGCUGGUCAGCUAAAUGGAGAGACGUGCGUGUUGGAAGAGAGCAGGUACAUUCAAGAACUCUACAGGUGACUAAGGUAUUUACCCACACUUGCCUGUGUGCAAAUCUCAGAUUGGAGGAAUGCAGUGUGAUCUUUUUGCAAUUUCCCCACCUUUCCAAUCAAAG